CCCCCCCCCCAGUGCAAUGUUUUGCUUCCGCCUGUCUCUAAGGGUAGUCUUCAGUGAUGACUCAAUUACAGAAGGACCCGGGAGGAACAAUAACAUUGGUUAUCUCUAGCCCAAGGCCUUCUCCCCAGCAGCCCCCUUUCCAGCCGCGUCUGCCUUCUAGAACACGAGGCCAGCCCACUCUCCAGCACAGGCCAGAUUUCAGCUGUGGAUACUGACUGAGUGUGUCCUCCGGCUGGCACUAUUCCAGGUGCUGAGGAAGCAGGCGUGAACAGGGAGCCUGCUCCCUGCAGCCGGGGGCCCUCACUCCGGGAGCGAGAAUUAUCUCCAAGAGGCCGAGCCCACGGGGCCUGUCCAGGCUGGGGGGAGCAGCCUGUCAGACUCCCUUCUGUGGUCCAGCCAUUGCUCAGAUGACAGGGCCACUGAAGACUAAAUAAUUGGCCAGCUGGUGCUUUGGAAACAGUUAAAUCUUUGCUGGCGGAUACAGGUGUGAUCUUGUUUCUUGGACACCUCCUAUUCAGCCCCGAAGAGUCCUUGCUCCCCGUUCCUGAUCCCGCGCGGACCAGAGUCGUCGCGUAGACGUCUCACUGCAGCCGGCGGCCUGGCCAAAGAUACGGCAGAAAUGCCUAGUAGUGAUGCCUCCUUGAGCUGUGAUCGAGGCAUCGCCCAGAAUUCCAGCCGGAACAUCUGCUCCCCUGCUCCCCUGCUUCUCCGCAGCCCCCCUUCAGAGGACACCCCAGCGACUCUGGCAGGAGCUACCCGAAAGGCCAGACCGUCCACAGUGCUGGAGGAGUGAGGAUCCAUGGGAUGUCCUCACUGGUCCUAACCCUCCUGACGUCCAAGAAGAUGAAAUUAAAAUGCGGCCACGUGGGCCGUGGUGCCAUCUUGCUUGUCAUUUAGCCUCGGUUCUGUGAAGCCCACAGCCCAGAGAGGUGAGGGCUCCUCCUUCAUCGGGCCACCCUUUUCCUCACCCAGUCCCUUCAGCCCACUGGUCUGAUUUACUAGAAAGAGAAUCCGUGGCGUGGAAGAAGAAAGGUAAUGGAUCAAACUACUGCCUGACUAGAUUUCACUGCCUCCAGUGGAAAAUGUUUGAGAUUUAGGAUAAACGUUUUUGCUUGCACUAGUAAA